CUGCCAGUUGACAGCCAGAUAUAUGAUCUUGGCGUCCAUUCGCCCCGCUGGCCUCAGCCUUCCUGCUGUAAAAAGGGGGUUGACAGCAGGCUCCUUAAGACUGCCUCCACCUCUGCCCCCCGACCUUAGCUCAUCCUCCUCUAUUCCAUUAUCCCUGAAGCAUUUGCCUCCUCAUGUAUCUCCUUCCCAAAAGACAAGAUGGCUGGCAGCACGGAAGUGAAAAGGGAAAGAAAGGCUGUUUAAAAAAAAAAAAUUCUAAAAUGAGUCACCUUUCAAGAAUUUCCCAUUUCCUCAUGCCUGGGUGCUUCCUCGUGUCGCUAAAUCAGUUCUUCCAAUGAAACUUGAUCUAAGAACCUGGUAUUUGUUAUGUGCACUGCUCUUGGAUGAUGUUUACAAUGUGCACACAUCUCUUUUAAGAGCUUGUAGGUAUCAAACGACCUCCAGGUUGUGCAUCAAAAAGACAUCAGCAGCCACAGAGUCAACUUUAGUUGAGCCUGGAGAAAAUCAUACAAAACCGUAGAGUUUUAACUAGGUUUUGUAUCAUCUUUUGAUAAGUUAGGAAAAAUAAUUACAGCUCUCCAAACUUCCCACUUAACAACUCCCAGGACCCUGCAGCACCCUAAAAUCUAGCCAGCUCCAAGAAUCACUCUCUACUCCAUACCCGGAUGAGCCUUGACUCACACUAAUUCCCUCCCUGAGGCUUAAGUCAGGGGGCAGCUGAUGGUUGUGGUCUGUGCUGCUUCCGCCUGGCCUAUUUUUCAUGCUGCCAUUUUGAAUUAGCAUAGGUUUCCUCCGCAACUGAUGCAUCUUCUAACCAGGCUGGGAACACAACACGCGCACACGCGCACACACACACGCACGCACCCACCCCACCCGGCUGCCGGACGCAAGCGUAAGUCAAGGACUUGCAUGCUAGAAUCAGACAGAAAAUCCAGAAAAGCCACGUUAUUUAACAGAACCCUACAAGGUCAGCUUUGAGUCAAAGCAGGACGGAGCCCUGACAGCAAUGUUUGCUACGGCCUCCCUCUGCAGUCAGCCUAAAGCAAGGAGCUGGAGGUAGAUGAGGCAAAGGUAAAGGAGACCAAAACAGUAUUUUAAAGAAAAAAUCAUUUAUCUUCAAAUAGGCUCCAAACCUAAGAUGGUGUAUACUGUUAGAGGACAAGAACCUGCUUCUAGCCAUCUUUGCGUCUCCAGGACCUGACUUGUGACCAUUCAAUAAGAGUUUGAUAGAUGGACAGACUAAUGAAUAGAUGAAGAUGAUUAGAAGCCAAAAUUUCUGAAUCUUCCUAGCACCCAGAACAUGGCUUAACAUCAAGGAAAUGCUCACUAAAUACUGUCAUAAUGGAAUGAAUGGAACCGAUGCCUAAUUGAAAAUCAUUAGGCUGUAAACCAUUUCCAUGUUCCAAUUUCUUCGUUUAUAGAACAGAAAUGAUAGUGUAACCACCUGAAAAUCCUUCACCUAGACUUCCAAAACCACACCCACCUCAUCAAUGAAGUCUGACUCUCUAGAAAGAAGCAAAUGACUGAAAUCAUGGUCCUGUGCCUUGACCAAAAUACCAUUCGUCAGAACAAAAGAAGUAGGUCAGUGAAACGGCAUUAGUAUAUCCUUCAACAGGCAAAUAAGUGAUAGUGUAGUUUGCUUUUGAAGUCGCUGUGAAAAGUUUUAGGUGAACAUCACCUACACCACAUUAAAAAUGGAAUCAAGUCAUUUUCUUUAAGAAAUGGAGUUUGAGAUAUGAGAAUUCUUUUGGGCUUUUUCUACUUAUUGGCCAAUUAUACACCCAGAUAUAUUUCUGCAAUAUUUCAAAGAUUCUAGUUCUAAUUUGUAUAA
rnacentral:lncRNA from 1 species